UUUUCCUCAGGGAAAAAGGUUUGUUACAAUGUUUUGACUAAUUGUCAACAAAGUGCUGCAAAUGUUUGAAGGGAUUUACAUUCAGACUGUUCUGUCCUUCCCUUUCAGCUUUGUCACAAGCCUUGGAAGGAUGAAUCUGGACCAGGAGCUUUGGAUGGUUUGGGAAGGAAAAAAAAGAACAACAUAAGGAUAUUCCUGAUGGGAAUUGGCCCAAGAGGUCCCUGUCAGGGCUUUGGCCACCCCCAAACCCCACAGGACUUCUCGUGGGUUCCCUUGGCAACAGCGAAGCCAACACAGGGAUAAGAGCCUGGGAACACAAAGGCAGCACUGACACCCUUCCCCUCAGCAGCCAAGGACGAGAGCUGGUGACAGUGACCUUGGGACAGGCCAGCUCGAUGGGAAGGUGUCCCCAGCCAACCUUUCAACGCCCCAGGCACAGGCUGGAUCCCAGAUCCUACAACACCUCAGAGCAAGGGCUCUUCGUCAUCUUUAAUCCACGAGGCACAUCAGCACUUUGGUUUGUGAUUUCCCAGUGGGAAUGAAAGCUGGACACACAUGGGAAGCACAUCUAUGGUAAGUGAUAAUCUAAUUUCCUAUUGAAGGAGCAGCAGGACCAGCCAUGGGCUGGACUCUUUCUGUGGAGAACAUUAAAUUCUGGGCAACUUUCAGCGGAAAACUUUCCCCCAUGAGGCCCUGACUGACUGCUUGAAAUCCCACUGCUCCCUCUUGUCCUGGCACUUGUUAUCUGGGAGAAGAGACUGAUCCCACCCAGCUCCACCCUCCUGGGAGCUUUAAUAGGGAUGGGUUUGGCCCCAAGAGAGGUUUGGCCAAGCCAUGGGUGAGGUUUGGUGCCACACAGAGCCCCAGACCAGCACCACCGACCCUGCCCAGAGGAACCAGGCCUGGCACGGUGGGAUGAACCCUUCAGGGAAAGGUUUAGGGCUGGAGGAACUGCUGUUCCACAUCAGGCAACAGCACCAGCUCUGACAGGGGCAGAGAGAAGCCUGUCCAUCAGGGAAGGACACGACACCCUGGUGCCAUGGGAUGUUUUCUCCAAGGGAAGGGCUGGAAUGCUGCCACGGCCCCGGGGGCAGAUCUGUUCCAAGCCUGGAGAUUUGUUUAGUGCUCCCUCAUGCCAGGAGUCCUGGAGUGCAAGGUCUCUGACACCACUCCUGCGAGAAAUAUUCCCUGCAGGAAGUUCGAUUUCCUAAAAAUCCAGUGCUGUGAUGAGGUGUCCACAUGCUCAGGGCACUUUGUGCUGCUGCCUUUAACCCGGGACAAAACCAGCCUGUAACCUCUCCCUGACAUGGAGACAUUCAUGGAGCUGGUUUUACAGGCCAGUCCAAGAGCUUUCCUGACAUUUUUGUAUUUUGCUCAUUGCUGAGCAGCAGGAGCUCUGGCUUCCUGGGAGGGAGGGGGAGAAAGGAAACAUUUGUUCUCCACUUGGUUUGGAUCCAGGGUUCAGACCUUCCCUCAUGUUCCAAACAUUGUCCUGUGUCUCUCUCCUCACUUUCCGUGCUGAUCCUCUCUGGCCACACAGACUUUACUAUGGCUGCUGCCACAGGACAGAAACAGGGAGCUGGUGGAUGAGAGCCUGGAUUUUAAAUCAUGGAAUCACAGACUGGCUUGGGCUGGAAGGAGCUUAGAGCUCAUCUCAUUCCACCCCCUGCCAUGGGCAGGGACACCUUCCACUAGCCCAGGCUGCUCCAACCCCCAUCCAAACUCGGAUUCUAUGAGGAUUGGCCAUCAUUCCCUGCCCUUUGGCAGGGGGUUGGAACUGGAUGAGCUUUAAGGUCUCUUCCAACCCAGACCUCCUGGGAUUCCAUGGUUUUAAUUCCACCUCUGAAGAUGUGCCCCUCUUGGAGAGACUCUUCUGUUACUUUUCUCCUCUUGGAAGGUAAACAGCAUUUCAUUACACGAUUAAUAAACCCGUGGACAAACCAACGUUAUUGCAACAAAAAUAAAUAAAAAUUUAACUGAAUUUCAGGUUGUAGAAAUGGAUGGAUUGCACUGGCAAGGAUUUGCCCCCGGUGUCCGUAAGCCAAGGGUCCUUUGAAGGCCUGGGUCGUUUCCCAGGCUGUGGAGGUGUCAUAGCUGGCUGGGCCGGCGGGUUAUCCCGGGAAUGCUCCUGCUCCUGGGCUCGGGGAGCGAGGC